rnacentral:rRNA from 1 species
UUGCAUAUCAAAAAGCGGAGGAAAGGAAACCAACAGGGAUUGCCUCAGUAACGGCGAGUGAAGCGGCCAAAGCUCAAAUUUGAAAUCUAGCACCUUCGGUGUUCGAGUUGUAAUUUGAAGAUGGUAACCUUGGGUUUGGCUCUUGUCUAUGUUCCUUGGAACAGGACGUCAUAGAGGGUGAGAAUCCCGUCUGAUGAGAUGCCCAUUCCUAUGUAAGGUGCUAUCGAAGAGUCGAGUUGUUUGGGAAUGCAGCUCUAAGUGGGUGGUAAAUUCCAUCUAAAGCUAAAUAUUGGCGAGAGACCGAUAGCGAACAAGUACAGUGAUGGAAAGAUGAAAAGAACUUUGAAAAGAGAGUGAAAAAGUACGUGAAAUUGUUGAAAGGGAAGGGCAUUAGAUCAGACUUGGUGUUUUACGAUUAUCUUCUCUUCUUGAGUUGUGCACUCGUAUUUCACUGGGCCAGCAUCGAUUCGGAUGGCAAGAUAAUGGCAGUUGAAUGUGGCUUCACUUCGGUGGAGUGUUAUAGCUUCUGCUGAUAUUGCCUGUCUGGAUCGAGGGCUGCGUCUUUUGACUAGGAUGCUGGCGUAAUGAUCUAAUGCCGCCCGUCUUGAACCAACGGAC